rnacentral:tRNA from 4 species
GGCCAGGUAGCUCAGUUGGUAGAGCAGCGGACUGAAAAUCCGCGUGUCGGCGGUUCGAUUCCGUCCCUGGCCA